GCUCUUGCGCAUGUGAACGCGUAGUUCAUAGUCAGAAAUUAGUAUUGAGUGUAUUGAGAAGCCGGAGUAAAACUUGGUAAAACACGGGCAUUAUAAAAAAAGCUAUGGACACCCUUGAUAUGGAUGUACUCGCGCCUGUACUCUUUUUCGCGCGUGUAGAGUACGCGCUCUGCCUGUUUUCUCCUUAGCGUUUGAUUCGGGAACCAUAGCGGCCUUCGAUCGCAGAUCAUGAUGAUUCAUACGUCUUACGUGUUGGGCAUUCCGUUUUGAUUUCUUAGAACGCAGCUCUUAUUUUAAUGUCCAACCAGAAAGAACAAGCUUACGACGCCGGAGGUUGACGAAAACGCGCCAAAAACUUGUUCCUCGUGGCUUAGGAUUUAAAUAUUGCAUACCUGCGCUAGCAUAAUAACAAAAGCACGUCCAAUUUAGUUUUUACACUUCGCAAUAUGACAUUGACAACUUCAUAUCGGACGUUAAGCUAUAAUGAAUGCACGCACUACCAGUUUGCAUUGUACCGAACCACACACAUUGGACAUUUUAUUUGUUACGCGUGAUCAUUAAUUUUUUUUUUUUUUUUGCAUUUUAGGACGGCUUGGGACAUACUGUCGAAUUCGCGCAAUGAGCUCUCAUUAAGUCGUGAUCGAAGUUGUGCAUCAAGUUUUUCGGUUAUUCAUUGUUUAAGCUUUUAGCACUCGGAAGUUAUAAUAAGACUUCAUAUUUCAUUCAGUUUAUGUUGAAUAUGGUAGGACAUAAUAAUCCAGCUUUUAUAUUUUGCGAGACACGAGCGGACAAGCUCUGAAAACAACAAUAUAAGUGCCAAAUUUAAUAUUUCCAAUACAAAAUAGUUCACCACAGGCAGUGCCAGAAGGUAUAGCACACUGCAGCGUACAUAGCACAGAUUUGCUUACAAGAUGCUGAAGUACCGUGUUAAAGAAUUAUUUUACUAAACAAGACGUGCAUGUGAACACGGGUGUCAACCCUUGAAAGCCACAAGCCUCAUUGUUACCUGUAUUUGCGUUGUGGCAUAUUUGCUGUGCAGGCAUUUUGGUUUAAGAAGUAGUUAGAAACCCACAAGUGCUGUAGAUAGGUUGCACAAAGCUAUGUGCAAAGUUAACAAAGCUGUAGCUACCUUUAUUUUGUUGUGCUGGGUUUUUUUCUCACUUUCCAGAUGUGCAGGAAUCGCAAAAAAAAUUAAGGACUAGAGUAUUACUUCUGAGUGGCCGGCUCUGGAAUUAACAAGACGUGUGCUUUCCUACAAAAGCGAGAGAUACCCAGGAGAAGGCAUCGCAAGUGUUGGGGCCUCCAAAGAACUUCCUCCGCCAGGCAAAGGUUGUGGGGAAGGAAGCAUACACACAGGGGUAUAAGUGUGUGUUUCCCAUCAGAGAAUGGACUUCUGGGCUUGGAGGAGAACUCAAGAGUCAAAAGGAGGCAAGACGGUUGCAAGUGGACCUUUUUCCGGUGAUGGGCCUGAACAAAGAACUUGGAGCAGACUGGUCUUUGCAGAGAAUCUAUGAGUGCAUGAAGGGCACUGAAAUGGACGCCUGUGUGAGUGACCAGAUGGCUCUUCAGACUACCCUUUUGUAAGAAGCUUAGGACAUGAAGGGCACUGAAAUGGACACUUGCCUGUGCGGACCACCAAAUGUCUCUUCAGACUACCCUUUGUAUGACACCCGGGCAUGAAGAGCACUGAAAUGGACACUUGCCUGUGUGGAUCACCAGAUGCCUCUUCAAACUACCCUUUUGUGUGACACUCGGGGCAUGAAGGGCACUGAAAUGGACACUUGCCUGUGUUGACCGCCUUACGUCUCUUCAGACUACCGUGUUGUGUCGCACUCAGUGCAUGAAGGGCACUGAAAUGAACACUUGCCUUUGUGAACCACCAAAUGCCUCUUCAGACUGCCCUUUCCUACAACACUCAGGGCAUGAAGGGCACUGAAAUGGACACUUGCCUGUGUGGAUCACCAAAUGUCACCAACCUUUUUUGCACGACACUCGGGGCAUAAGGGUACUGAAAUGGCUCAACUCCGGAUGCACAGGUUGCACUUGAGCUUGGACCUUCGUGAGAAGCUCUUGAGGGCACAAAUGGCACUGAAAUGGACACUUGCCUGUGUCGACCACCAUAUGUCUCUUCAGACUGACCUUUUGCACGACACUAGGGCAUGAAGAGCACUGAAAUGGACGGUUGCCUGUGUGGAUGACCACGUGUCCUCAGACUACCGUUUUGUGUGGCACUUAGUGCAUGAAGUGCACUGAAAUGGACACUUGCCUGUGGGGACCACCAAAUGUCUCUUCAAACUACCCUUUCGUACGACACUCGGGGUAUGAAGGCACUGAAAUGGACGCUUGCCUGUGUGGAUCACCAAAUGUCUCUAACUUUUUUUGCACGACACUCUGGACAUGAAGGGCACUGAAAUGGCUCCUCAGCUCUGGAUGCAUAGGUGGCACUUGAGCUUGGACCUUCGUGAGAAGCUCUGAGGGUACAAAUGGCACUGAAAUGGACACUCAUCUGUGUGGACCCUGAUGUGUUUUCAGGUAUAACAGACUUCCAGUUUUGUAGUCGCAAGUCACCAGUAGAGGCAUUCCAGCUACGACUUUUCAUCCUCAGUGGUUGUUGGAAGGGAGAAUACCCUUAUCCUGCACAGUGAAAACAAAACAGUGCUUACGAAAUGCCAAAAUAAAAACACAGAUGCCAUGAUAAUGAUGAGCCUUUCAUUUGUUCAAUAGUUUUCGAGGGUCACCUCAGAAAAGAUCAAACAAAGCAUGACUGGUAGACUUUUCUGUUUUACUAAAUAAUAAUGUAUGUGAUUACUUAAUGACCACGUGUGUCAAAUACGAACAGAUUUUUUAAAAAAUUUUGUAUUAGAAAAAUUAUUAGAGAGGAGGUGUGCAGUGUUUGUAUAGGCUGCCUCGUGCUGUCUUCAGCCAAAUGAAGCAGCAAAGUUUUUAUGCUAAGUUGUCCUAGUGCAAAAAACAGUUUUCAUUGUACAGUGAAACCCAGAUAUAUCGAACCCACAUAUAAUUAAUUGUGUAUAACGAAAGCAGUAAAAUACCCUUGGAAAAUUUUUGUAUAAAAUUUUAAUUUUAUGCAUCAAAUUACCCAUAUA